rnacentral:ncRNA from 1 species
CCUGCUUUUCUGUAAGCAGUAGCCUACCCCAGCAUGCAUUGUUGGUAACGACCUUGUUUGGAGCCUGGGGAACAAAGGACCGAAAAUCGAGAGAUUUCCUUCUGACCAGCAAUGAAAUGAAGGACCAUAAAACUUCAUUAUGGAUAGGGC